AAGUCGUAACAAGGUUUCCGUAGGUGAACCUGCGGAAGGAUCAUUAACACGUAUCCAACGUUAAACAACCCUGUGAACUUUCAGCCUGCUCUUGUAGCCCAUGAGGAACAGCAAUCCCGGUAAAUCAUUGCCGAACAGUUUUGAUUCGGGACCUCUGUCCAAAAGGGGUUGCAAUUGAGCGGUAGAGGCACCAAGUGGUCAGUGACUGGCUGUGUAAGGAUAACGCCUCACGGUUGCUAGAGGUCGAUCACCGACCGGCAGACAUGUCACAGGGUCACCACGCCCCUUAAUAACCUUAGUGGUAACGCGCUAGGGAAAAAAAACCGAACAACUGUUUCCAAUGGAUAUCUUGGUC
rnacentral:misc_RNA from 1 species